GUCUACGGCCAUACCACCCUGAAUCCGCCCGAUCUCGUCUGAUCUUGGAAGCUAAGCAGGGUUGGGCCUGGCUAGUACUUGGAUGGGAGAUUAAAAAUUGGGAGAUUAAAAAUG
rnacentral:rRNA from 1 species